GGGGUAGUAAAGGUUUCGACGGGGGCUGUGAAGCUGGAGAAGCUAUCCGCAGGCGAUGCGUUAACUCGCAACCUUAAAAUUAAACGCUAACGAAAACGUAGCACUCGCUGCCUAAUUGACAGCCGUCCGCCACAGUGCACCUGCACAUUGUGAUCCGGGCGUCGAAUAUGCAGGAAACGACGUAUGUUAAGCUUUGCGCAUACGGGCGUAUCAUGAAGCUACUGAACGCAGAAGGGUGUCUGCUCUCGCCUGCCGGAGGGAAUGUCAAAUAACAGACUAUGAUAGUAGAAGGACAGGGGAGUGGUUUUCGGACACGGGUUCAAUUCCCGUCUACUCCAUAG
rnacentral:tmRNA from 1 species